AUUAUAUUUAACUCUAAGUCUGAAUAUUUCCACAGUAACAUAAGCGAAAUCAAAGGGACGCGUGCCUGCUGGACAGUUCGCCUGGUGAUUACACUGCUAUAAUAACACUGGUGUAACUGGUAAAACUUUCUCCCAGGGACAAAGCCAAAAACUUACCAAAAGAAAAAAACUGAGCAUGAGGAGCUGGGAGGACCUAACUGCUGCUGUUCGGCGCCUCAAUCUGAAGCACAAACAAGCAACAGACUGUAAGGGAAGGAGAGGAGCAGUACUGCCACCAAAAGAAGCCAUUAUCGGCGACCCUGGUCUCUGACAAUGUAGGAAACUGGACCUCGGCCUUUCAGCCCUCGCUGCAGUAUUCCAGCUCAUUUACAAAAAUUCUAAAAUCAAAUUUGAAAAUGUAAUACAGGUAUGACUAAAUAAAUCUAUCGAAAUAGCUUUUUUAGCAGUUGAUGGGUCUCUUUGCUGACUCCUUUGGCUCAAAUUCAUGUUUUACCUAUCGGAUUAAGACUUUGCAAAUUAAAUGUCAGCAUUUUCCCUUAUAAUGAAUCCAACUUUACCUGAGUCAAUAAUAAAAGUUGACAGCUGAUUAACAUCCUUCCCAUUUUCAUUUUUCCUUCUUG